rnacentral:rRNA from 1 species
GUAACAACUCACCUGCCGAAGCAACCAGCCCUGAAAAUGGAUGGCGCUUUAGCGUUUGGCCUAUACUCGACCGCUGGAUCAGAGCUUGCAUUUAUAAAUGAAUGUAUUUUUGUUUUAAGUGCAGUGCCUGUAAGUUCCAGUGAGUAAGGGGGUGUGAUGGUAAGCAUUGAAGGGUCUGGGUGUGAACCUGCCUGGAGCUGCCAUCGGCACAGAUCUUGGUGGUAGUAGCAAAUACUCAAGUGAGAUCCUUGAGGGCUGACGUGGAGAAGGGUUCCAUGUGAACAGCAAUUGCACAUGGGUGAGUCGUUCCUAAGCCAAAAGGCGAAAGCCAAACUCAUGAAACUUUGUGGCCACAUAUAAUAAAAUGAAAAAAAGUGAGCCUGAAAGGAGAAUGGCGAAAGGGGAUCCGGUACUCAUUCCGGAACCUGGACAUGAGGAGUAGUGUUGCUUUUUAUGCAUCACCUAGCCGCAAGGCAUUUACCAACCUGGAGAAUCCAACCAGAGAGCCGGGAAGAGUUGUCUUUUCUGCUUAAGGGAUAGAGGGCCUUGUGAACUGGGUCGGUCAGAGAGAGGGUCUUUGUCCCGAAUAGCGCCGCGGUUCUUGCGGAGUCCAGCUCCUCUGGUGUGGAACUUGAAAAUCCAGGGGUAAGAAUGAAAUACCUUCAUGCCAGUUCGUACCCAUAUCCGCAUCUGGUCUCCAAGGUGAACAGCCUCUUGCCGAUAGAUGAGUGU